AAAGAGCCGCAGUAUUCUGACUGUGCGAAGGUAGCAUAAUAGAUUGUCUUUUAAAUGGAGGCUUGAAUGAACGGUUGGACAAAGUAUCAUCUGUUUCUUAAAUAAAUAUUGAAUUUGACUUUUAAGUGAAAAGGCUUAAAUAACUCAAAAAGACGAUAAGACCCUAUAAAUCUUUACAAAAAACAUACUUUAAAUUUUAGGUUAUAAGUUUAUAAAGUAUAAAUUAUGUUUUUGUUACGCUGGGGCGGCGUAGAUAUAUAAAUGAACUGUCUAUUUAAUAAAAUCAAUAAUUAUUGAUUAAUAAAAAUGAUCCUUUAAGAGAUUAAAAGAUUAAGAUACUUUAGGGAUAACAGCGUUAUUUUUUCUGAGAGUUCAUAUCGAAGAAAAAGUUUGCGACCUCGAUGUUGAAUUAAAGUUUCUUUAUGGUGCAGCAGCUAUAAAAGAAAGUCGACUUUUAAUACUUUACGUGAUCUGAG
rnacentral:rRNA from 1 species